rnacentral:rRNA from 1 species
AGUGAAUAGAUACCCAGGUAGUCCACGCCGUAAACGAUGAUCACUCGUGAUUGGCGAUAUACGGUCAGUCACCUAGCGAAAGCGUUAAGUGAUCCACCUGGGGAGUACGAUCGCAAGAUUGAAACUCAAAGGAAUUGACGGGGGCCCGCACAAGCGGUGGAGCAUGUGGUUUAAUUCGAUGAUACGCGAGGAACCUUACCAGGGCUCGAACGCACGACGACAGGGGUGGAAACAUCCUCUUCUUCGGACGGCGUGCGAGGUGCUGCAUGGCUGUCGUCAGCUCGUGUCGUGAGGUGUCGGGUUAAGUCCCAUAACGAGCGCAACCCCUACUGUUAGUUGCCAGCGGAUAAUGCCGGGGACUCUAACGGAACUGCCCGCGUAAGCGGUGAGGAAGGUGGGGACGACGUCAAGUCAUCACGGCCCUUACGUCCUGGGCUACACACGUGCUACAAUGGCGAGGAACAAAGGGAAGCUACCGCGUGAGCGGAUGCCGAUCUCUAAAACUCGUCUCAGUUCGGAUCGGAGUCUGC